rnacentral:rRNA from 1 species
GAAUGAGCUCCUGACCCUAUUGGGACAGGAUGAAAAGCGCUUCGGCGCUGCCUUGUGAUGAGCCUGCGGCUGAUUAGUUAGUUGGUGGGGUAACGGCCUACCAAGGCAGCGAUCAGUAGCCGGCCUGAGAGGGUGAUCGGCCACACUGGGACUGAGAUACGGCCCAGACUCCUACGGGAGGCAGCAGCUAAGAAUCUUCCGCAAUGGACGAAAGUCUGACGGAGCGACGCCGCGUGGGUGAAGAAGGCCGAGAGGUUGUAAAGCCCUUUUCUGUCUGAGGAAUAAGCUUGGGAGGGAAUACCCGAGUGAUGACGGUAGGACAGGAAUAAGCCCCGGCUAAUUACGUGCCAGCAGCCGCGGUAACACGUAUGGGGCGAGCGUUGUUCGGAAUUAUUGGGCGUAAAGGGCGCGUAGGCGGAUUGUGCAAGUCUGGUGUGAAAGACCGCAGCUUAAACUGCGGGAGCGCGCUGGAAACUGUACGUCUUGAAUUCCUUGAGGGGGAACCUGGAAUUCCUGGUGUAGGGGUGAAAUCUGUAGAAUAUCAGGAAGAACAUCGGUGGCCGAAGGCAAGUUCCUGGCAAGGUGAUUGACGCUGAGGCGCGAAAAGCGUGGGGAGCAACCAGGAUUAGAUACCCUGGUAGUCCACGCUGUUAAACCGAUGUGCCACUAGGCGUUUGGGCUGUUGAAACCUCAGUGCCAGGAGCUAACGUUGGUAAGUGCACCGCCUUGGGGAGUAUGCCGGCAACCGGUGAAACUCAAAGGGAAUUGACCGGGGCCCCGCACAAGCGGUGGAGCAUGUGGUUUAAUUCGAUGAUACGCGAGAAACCUUACCAGGGUUUGACAUAUACCGGAAGUCGGUAAGAGAUUACGGGGGGCCUACGGGGCGUGGUAUACAGGUGCUGCAUGGCUGUCGUCAGCUCGUGCCGUGAGGUGUUGGGUUAAGUCCCGCAACGAGCGCAACCCCCCUAUUGCAAUGUUGCUAACAGGUUAAGCUGAGGACUCAGGCGAGAGUGACUGCCGGUGACACACCGGAGGAAGGUGGGGACGACGUCAAGUCAUCAUGGCCCUUAUGUCCUGGGCUACACACGUGCUACAAUGGCCGGUACAAAGUGAUGCGAAACCGCGAGGUGAAGCGAAUCGCAAAAAACCGGUCUCAGUUCGGAUUGGAGUCUGAAACCCGACUCCAUGAAGGUGGAAUCGCUAGUAAUCGCAUAUCAGCAUGAUGCGGUGAAUACGUUCCCGGGCCUUGUACACACCGCCCGUCACACCACCCGAGUUGGGG